rnacentral:rRNA from 1 species
GACGAACGCUGGCGGCGUGCCUAAUACAUGCAAGUCGAACGCAGUGGGGCCGGGUGAGUAACACGUUGGUAACCUCCCAUCAGAGGGGAUAACACUUGGAAACAGGUGCUAAACCGAUACUGAUGGAUGGACCCGCGGUGCAUUAGCUAGUUGGUGAGGUAACGGGCCACCAAGGCCACGAUGCAUAGCCGGCCUGAGGGGGUGGUCGGGCAAACUGGGACUGAGGAAAGGCCCAGAAUCCAACGGGAGGGAGGAGGAGGGAAUCAUCGGAAAUGGACGAAAGGCUGAACGAGCAACGGCGGGGGAGUGGAGAAGGUUUUCGGAUCGGAAAGCUAUGUUGUAAGAGAAGCGGUAUCUUACCAGAAAGGGACGGCUAACUACGUGCCAGCAGCCGCGGUAAUAC